AACGAACGCUGGCGGCAGGCCUAACACAUGCAAGUCGAACGCGUCCUUCGGGACGAGUGGCAGACGGGUGAGUAACGCGUGGGAACGUACCCUUUGGUUCGGAACAACAGCGGGAAACUGCUGCUAAUACCGGAUAAGCCCUUCGGGGAAGAUUUAUCGCCAGAGGAUCGGCCCGCGUUAGAUUAGCUUGUUGGUGAGGUAAUGGCUCACCAAGGCUACGAUCUAUAGCUGGUCUGAGAGGAUGAUCAGCCACACUGGGACUGAGACACGGCCCAGACUCUUACGGGAGGCAGCAGUGGGGAAUCUUGGACAAUGGGCGAAAGCCUGAUCCAGCCAUGCCGCGUGAAUGAUGAAGGCCCUAGGGUUGUAAAAUUCUUUCGACGGGGAAGAUAAUGACGGUACCCGUAGAAGAAGCUCCGGCUAACUUCGUGCCAGCAGCCGCGGU
rnacentral:rRNA from 1 species